rnacentral:rRNA from 1 species
AGAGUUUGAUCCUGGCUCAGGAUGAACGCUGACAGAAUGCUUAACACAUGCAAGUCAACUCGAACUUCGGUUUGGGUGGCGGACGGGUGAGUAACACGUAAAGAACUUGCCUUACAGUCUGGGACAACAUUUGGAAACGAAUGCUAAUACUGGAUAUUAUGUUUUUUUCGCAUGAAGGAGACAUGAAAGCUAUAAGCGCUGUAAGAGAGCUUUGCGUCCCAUUAGCUAGUUGGAGAGGUAACGGCUCACCAAGGCGAUGAUGGGUAGCCGGCCUGAGAGGGUGAUCGGCCACAUUGGAACUGAGACACGGUCCAAACUCCUACGGGAGGCAGCAGUGGGGAAUAUUGCACAAUGGGCGAAAGCCUGAUGCAGCAACGCCGCGUGAACGAUGAAGGUCUUCGGAUCGUAAAGUUCUGUUGCAGGGGAAGAUAAUGACGGUACCCUGUGAGGAAGCCCCGGCUAACUACGUGCCAGCAGCCGCGGUAAUACGUAGGGGGCUAGCGUUAUCCGGAUUUACUGGGCGUAAAGGGUGCGUAGGUGGUCCAUCAAGUCGGUGGUUAAAGGCUACGGCUCAACCGUAGUAAGCCUCCGAAACUGUUGGACUUGAGUGCAGGAGAGGAAAGUGGAAUUCCCAGUGUAGCGGUGAAAUGCGUAGAUAUUGGGAGGAACACCAGUAGCGAAGGCGGCUUUCUGGACUGCAACUGACACUGAGGCACGAAAGCGUGGGUAGCAAACAGGAUUAGAUACCCUGGUAGUCCACGCUGUAAACGAUGAGUACUAGGUGUCGGGGGUUACCCCCCUCGGUGCCGCAGCUAACGCAUUAAGUACUCCGCCUGGGGAGUACGCACGCAAGUGUAAAACUCAAAGGAAUUGACGG